rnacentral:rRNA from 1 species
CGACUGGCCCCGCUUGUGCAACCAAUUGUGUAUUUUUACGCACUUGUUUAUUCAUGUAUGCUAGCCAGCAAUGGCAGCAAAGUAAAAACGUGACAACUUCUAACGGUGGAUCUCUUGGCUCGUGCAUCGAUGAAGAACGUAGCCAGUUGCGAUAAGUAGUGUGAAUUGCAGAAUUCAGUGAAUCAUCGAAUCUUUGAACGCAAAUUGCGCUUUCUGGAUAUCCAGGGAGCAUGCCUGUCUGAGCGUCGUUUAAUAAUCUACACACCUCGGUGUGGGUAGGGAGUUCAUGCAAUCUUGGUUGCCUGUCUCUUGAUGUAUCUGAACCUGCAGAACACUAACUUAGUGUACUGCUUGGAAGGCUCAACUUGCUUCUGUCCUUCUAAAGUAAGUAUCGUUAGAGUUUUGUUAUGGUUUUCUGAAUUUUCGAAUUCACCAUUUGAUUUUUGACCUCAGAUCAGACAAGACUACCCGCUGAAUUUAAGCAUAUCAAUAAGCGGAGGA